UGCAGCGACGCCGCGUGAGGGAUGAAGGCCUUCGGGUUGUAAACCUCUUUCAGUAGGGAAGAAGCUGGUCCUUCGGGGUUGGUGACGGUACCUGCAGAAGAAGCGCCGGCUAACUACGUGCCAGCAGCCGCGGUAAUACGUAGGGCGCAAGCGUUAUCCGGAAUUAUUGGGCGUAAAGAGCUCGUAGGCGGUUUGUCGCGUCUGCCGUGAAAGUCCGGGGCUUAACCCCGGAUCUGCGGUGGGUACGGGCAGACUAGAGUGCAGUAGGGGAGACUGGAAUUCCUGGUGUAGCGGUGAAAUGCGCAGAUAUCAGGAGGAACACCGAUGGCGAAGGCAGGUCUCUGGGCUGUAACUGACGCUGAGGAGCGAAAGCAUGGGGAGCGAACAGGAUUAGAUACCCUGGUAGUCCAUGCCGUAAACGUUGGGCACUAGGUGUGGGGGACAUUCCACGUUUUCCGCGCCGUAGCUAACGCAUUAAGUGCCCCGCCUGGGGAGUACGGCCGCAAGGCUAAAACUCAAAG
rnacentral:rRNA from 1 species